AUUCAUUUAAAUGCUAUUUAUGUUCAUAAAUAAUUUUAUGCCCAUUUCUUGUGUAUUGAAAGUGGGACAAGCGAGAUAACUCUAAUACUUUUGUUCGGUCUUGUUUUUGGAACAGCCUCAGUAUAUGAUUGAGUACAAUCAGUGGCAGCGCCAUAUUUGUAUGGAAAUACAAUUUUAUUUUUGAACAAGCAAGUUGGCUUACAGCGUGUCCAGUGCACAGUUAAUACAUUUGAUGGACUUCUCGUGGUGUGAUCUUUUGGAUUUCCAAGGAAUUCAGCACAUUUGUAAGUGUUAAAAGACGAGACUUGAAAUUCGGUCCUGGCACACGUGGAAGGCCUACGUGCGUUCCGAUUUUUCAUCAUUCGUAACCUGUGUUGUCCCAACGAUCAUUGUUUUGUACUGUGUUCUUCCUUCAUCAAGAUGUCUGUAUUAAUAUUUGGUGACUCACACAUUCGACGCUUAUAUCAUUAUGCGAGGAAUCAGAGACAAUUUUGAAACAAUUAUAUUUAAUGUACAAAAUGUAGCGAUCUCGGUCAUUGGGAUUAGUGGGGACAGAAUAGGUCGAAGUAUGGACAUUAGAGUGCUAGAAGAGGAGAUUCAAAGGAACCGACAACAGAAGCUAACUUUAUAUAUUGCGGGAAACGAUAUCGAUCAGCCGCAGGCUGAUGAGGAUUCGGUUAGGGAGAUUGUGUCAAAAAUAAUGGCAACAUGUGACUUGUUUUUAAACCGGUAUCAUUUAAAUAAGAUAUAUGUGUGUCAGUCGUUACCAAGAUAUUCCACCAGACACUGCCGAGUUGUUUUAACGUUAUAUAAUAAGUAAAUAGUCUUGGCAAAUCAACUUUUAAAAGAAGAAGUUAAAAACAGAAGGCAGCCAGUCCAAGAGUGGGAAAUACAGAAAGGGACCCUUGUGAUCAAGCAUUUAUUUUUACUUAGAACAAGAUGAGUACCGGUAAUAGGCCUACAGACUAUGGGGUGGUUACAAAGCCAGUUAAUUUACAACAAGAGGAAGUCGCAAGUGACACUCCAACAAGCAACAAUCAUUCAAGCCAAUUAGAAGAUGGCAAUUUUACCAAGUAAUUCAGGUACUAAUUAACAAACAGCAUCUAAGGAGUUAUCGCUUAGCGCAGGGGUUAAGAAUCCCAGUAUCAUUAAGCCAUUGGGUCUCGGUGUAGAUUCUAAGAUAAAAAGCAAAAUCUGGGGAAAUGAAUUUGUUGAUUUGGAAAUUUGUUAGGAAUCAAAAAUAAGAAUAAUUAUAAAGGCUUUGAAAUCAGUGAAAUCUUAGAAGGGGAGUGUGAAAUAAAGCCCAAAAAGCAAACAUUAAAUUCAGAAAUCCAUAGUGAGGCAUUGGCUAUCAGUUUGGGUAAAUCCAAAGUAGGUCUAAAUUCUGGGUUUCUGGUAUUCAUAAUCAAUUCAAAUCUGUUCAAUAUCAGGAGGUAGAAGAUGCAGUAGGUUGAAUGCGCAUAUAUGAGAAAAAUUGCGGGUUGUUUAAAUUGGAUAUUCAGAAUGCAUAUAAAAUUGUUCCAAUACAUUGUUCAGAUUGGGAAUUGUUGGGUUUUACUUUAGAAAAUGAAUACUAUUUUGACAAAACUCUCCCUAUGUGACUUAAUUUUUCUUGUCAGUUAUUUGAAGAAUUCAGUACUGCAGUACAUUGGGUAUGUGAAAACAAGUUAGGCUUACAUGGGAGACUAGUUCAUGUUUUUGUUCAAGGAUAUUGGUAUUCCAAUUAAGGAGUUAAAAACUGUCCUUCCCUGUGCUUCGCUUAUAUGUUUGGGUAUUGAGUUGGAUUCUAUUUUGAUGGAGUCAUGUUUAGCACAAGACAAGUUAACUAAAGCUAGACACCUAAUACAAAUUCACAAGUCUAAAAAAUCUAUAACAUUACUAGAGUUACAGUCUGUAAUAGGUCUGUUAAACUUCGCCUGUUCAGUGGUCAUUCCAGGACGCCCAUUUCCUAGGCGGCUAAUUGAUCUGUUAAUUGAGUUAACUCAACCUUUUCAUCAUAGGAGAUUGAAUAAGGAAGCUCGAGCGGAUUUAAAUGCUUGGGGAUUGUUUUUGGAGCAUUUCAAUGGCAAGUCACUGUUUUCAUCAGAGCAAUGGGACAAUUCUGACUCAUUACAAUUGUAUAUGGAUACAAGUAACAUUGGUUUCUGUGGUUAUUUACGAAAUCAGUAUUUUAGUGGUAUAUGGCCUAAAACCUGGAAAACCUAUCAUAUUACAAUAAAAGGAGUUAUUUCCCAGUGUACUUGCAGUUCAGCUUUGGGCAGAUCAGUUUGAAAAUUGAUGUGUUAUUAUUAAAAUUUUUUUCACGGAUAAUGAUGCUGUUGUGCACAUCAUCAACAAACAAACCUAAAGUAAAGACAAAUGGUUCUUGUUUGUCGUUUAGUAGUGCAAUAUUUUAAACACAAUAUUUUAUUUCAAGGAAGACAUGUAUCGGGUUUAGAUAAUGUUUUAGCUGAUCAUCUUUCUCGCCAGCAGAUUCCACAGUCCCUACAAAAAAUUUCCUACAACAACCCUGUAGCAUGCCAUAACAACGAGGACAAUCUCAAAGUUUAGAAUCAAUAGCUUCAGAUCUAAUAAAUCAGUCAUUAGCAGCAUCAACUCAUAAUACUUAUCAAAGGGCAAUUGAAUAUUGCCAUUGUUUGGUGUCAUCAUUUUGCUUUGCCAAGGAAAGGUGUACCAGCAAAAGCAGAAGCUUAAGAUAUCAUUUUGUUUAUAGCUUAUUGUUACUGGCAACCUAUGUUUCAGCAUUAAGUAUUCAACAUAAGAUAAGGAAUAUGAAAGGCCCAACUUUUAGUGAAAAAAUGUUUACAAGGUUACAAGAAUAAGACAAGCUUAGUUGACCCUAGGUUACCUAUAACACCAAUCAUUCUUAAACAGCUGAUAGCUUCUUUACAAUAUACAACGAGUUUAUAUUUUGUACAGGUACUUAUGAAAAGUGUGUAUUUAGUGGCAUUUCACUGUUUUCUUAGGAUUGUAAUUUACAGCUUCAAAAGACAGAAAUUGUCAUUUAUUGACAAUACAAUCUGUACAUUUUUUAGAAAAUACUUCAGACUGCCCAGUAGGGUUGGAGUUGACUAUGAAAACUUUCAAACAUGGUAAAGGUCAAUCUUACACUGUGCAUGUGAAAAAUGACAGCAAAGAUAACACAAUAUGUCCUGUUCAGGCCCUAUGGACAUAUUUUCAAUUACGAAAACCAACUUCUGGUCCUCUUUUUACUUUCAUGGAUGGGUCACCGGUGUCACGGAAAUAUUGUACAGAUCAGUUAUGUUUGCCAUUAAAUUGGUGUGGGUUAGAUUGUAAAUGAUAUAAAGGUCACAGCUUUAGAAUCAGAGCAGCAACAACGGCUUUUUCCAGUGGAGUUCUAGAGCAAAAAAUUAAAUCAAUGGGGCGGUGGUUAUUAGACGCUUUCAAAAAGUACAUUCGAAUCCCCUUUGUAAACCUUUGACUGCUCACGAGGUGAGGUUGAGGUAAAGAGUUAUGACCAUGGUGACAAGAGCAUCUGGUCAGAUUAUAAUUCAUGACAUUUCAAAUCUACUUUGAGUUGAGUUCCUAUAAGAUAGUGAGUAAUUUGUUAACUUUUUUGGUUGAUUGCAAUCAAGUGUUUUAAUUACUGGUGUCACAAAAUUAUACCCAAUCAUGGUGACAAGAGCAUCUGGUCAGAUUAUAAUUCAUGACAUUUCAAAUCUACUUUGAGUUGAGUUCCUAUAAAAUAGUGAGUAAUUUAUUUGGUUGAUGUCAAUCAAGUGUGUUAAUUACUGGUGUCACAAAUUAUACCCAAUCAUGGUGACAAGAGCAUCUGAUUGUAAAAUAAAUAUCAAACCAGUAAUAGAGAAUAUGAGGGUUUGGACAAUUGUCAAAAUAUGUGAACAAGUGUGACACAUUAUCUGUUUCAGGAAAGAGGACAUUGGCUUAGAAAAACAGUUUCAACCAUGAUGACAGGAGCAUCUGGUUGUAUCAAGUAGUAAAGUUUUGAUGUAAUU